UACGGAGGGUGCAAGCGUUAAUCGGAAUUACUGGGCGUAAAGCGCGCGCAGGCGGUCCCUUAAGUCUGAUGUGAAAGCCCACGGCUCAACCUGGGAACUGCAUCCGAAACUGGCAGGCUAGAGUCUUGUAGAGGGGGGUAGAAUUCCAGGUGUAGCGGUGAAAUGCGUAGAGAUCUGGAGGAAUACCGGUGGCGAAGGCGGCCCCCUGGACAAAGACUGACGCUCAGGUGCGAAAGCGUGGGGAGCAAACAGG
rnacentral:misc_RNA from 1 species